CCAAUAGCGUAUAUUAAAGUUGUUGCAGUUAAAAAGCUCGUAGUUGAAUUUCGGGAUCAAUUUAUUGGUCGUGCCAACGGUACGCACUGGUACAAUUGGUUUCUCCCUUCUGACGAAGCAUGAUGUCAUUAACUUGGUGUCGUGGGGAAUCAGGACUGUUACUUUGAAAAAAUUAGAGUGUUUAAAGCAGGCUUUGGCUUGAAUACAUUAGCAUGGAAUAAUGAAAUAGGACGUUUGAUCUUAUUUCGUUGGUUUCUAAGAUCGACGUAAUGAUUAAUAGGGAUAGUUGGGGGCAUUAGUAUUCAAUUGUCAGAGGUGAAAUUCUUGGAUUUAUUGAAGACUAACUACUGCGAAAGCAUUUGCCAAGGAUGUUUUCAUUAAUCAAGAACGAAAGUUAGGGGAUCGAAAACGAUCAGAUACCGUCGUAGUCUUAACCAUAAACUAUGCCGACUAGGGAUCGGAUGAUGUUAAUUUUUUAAUGACUCAUUCGGCGCCUUACG
rnacentral:rRNA from 1 species